rnacentral:rRNA from 1 species
AUUGAACGCUGGCGGCAGGCCUAACACAUGCAAGUCGAGCGGAAACGAUCCUAGCUUGCUAGGAGGCGUCGAGCGGCGGACGGGUGAGUAACGCGUGAGAAUCUACCCAUGAGUGGGGGACAACCCGGGGAAACUCGGGCUAAUACCGCAUACGCCCUACGGGGUAAAGCAGGGGACCUUCGGGCCUUGCGCUGAUGGAUGAGCUCGCGUCGGAUUAGCUUGUUGGUGAGGUAAAGGCUCACCAAGGCGACGAUCCGUAGCUGGUCUGAGAGGAUGAUCAGCCACACCGGGACUGAGACACGGCCCGGACUCCCGUACGGGAGGCAGCAGGUGGGGAAUCUUGGAACAAUGGGGGCAACCCUGAUCCAGCCAUGCCGCGUGUGUGAAGAAGGCCUUCGGGUUGUAAAGCACUUUCAGCAGGGAGGAAGGCUUACCCCUAAUACGGGUGAGUACUUGACGUUACCUGCAGAAGAAGCACCGGCUAAUUUCGUG